rnacentral:rRNA from 1 species
CCUACGGGAGGCUGCAGUGGGGAAUAUUGGUCAAUGGGCGCGAGCCUGAACCAGCCAAGUAGCGUGAAGGAUGAAUGCCCUACGGGUUGUAAACUUCUUUUAUAAAGGAAUAACGUGAGGCUCGUGUGCCUUUUUGUAUGUACUUUAUGAAUAAGGAUCGGCUAACUCCGUGCCCGCAGCCGCGGUAAUACGGCGGAUCCGAGCGUUAUCCGGAUUUAUUGGGGUUAAAGGGUGCGUAGAUGGUUUGUUAAGUCAGUUGUGAAAGUGUGCGGCUCAACCGUCAAAUUGCAAUUGAUACUGGCAGUCUUGAGUACAGUUGAGGUAGGCGGAAUUCGUGGUGUAGCGGUGAAAUGCUUAGAUAUCACGAAGAACUCCGAUGGCGAAGGCAGCUUACUAAGCUGCCACUGACAUUGAUGCUCGAAAGUGUGGGUAGCAAACAGGAUUAGAUACCCCAGUAGUC